GUUUGCAUCCUGCAGCUGGAUUUGAUGCUGUGAAAAGUGACUGCUUUGGAGCCUGGCAGAUAGAGCCUGGAAUCGUCCUUCUGCCCCGGACUUUUCCUUGAGUGAGCAAUAAUUCUCUGCUGUUUCUUCCUUGGAAUCUCCUGGAUGCAUUUGUCAUCUGAGGAUGUUCUUGCUGUAGAAACUGAGGGAGGGGCAAGAGCCCAGUUUCCUGGAGAGGCAACCCCGACCUGCCCCAAGAGACUGCCAUCCUUGGGACUGAUGGGUUUCCUUCCAGCCCGUUUCUUGUACAUUUGCAUACAAUUCACAGACACAGCAAAAGGAGAGAAGAAGAUUAUACUGAAUCCCCGACGACCUGUCACUCAGCAUGGGUGGUUAGUACAAUUUCACUUGCUUAUUCUCCUUUCUUUCCUCUUUGCUGAGGAAUUUUAUACCACAUCCCAGGCACCAUGUCUUUUCAUCCUGCCAGGUUGCUGUAUACAGUGCUAAGAUGCACAGACUUUAGAAAAACGUAACCACAAAGCUGCUAUUAAAUGUAACAAAAUGAGCAGCAAUUCCUUAUCAACAAACACCUAACUCCAGAAUCAGAUUUCUCCAUUGUCUCAAAAAUGUCUUAAGAAUUGCUCAGUUUGAAUCGGAAGCCCAGCCCUGCAUAUGGAGGAUUCCUUCUGCAUUUUCUGUUUAUGCCACAAGCAUGAGGAAAUCAGGUUGCUUGUCUGGAGAAGAGCCCCCAUUCUGGGGUUCCUUUUGCUUUCAUGGGGUAUCAGGGAACUCUGUCUUGGUCCACUCAGGCUGCUGUAACAAAACACUCCAGACCGGGUGGCUUGUCCACAGCAGAAAUGUGUUGCUCACAGUUCUGGAGCCUGGAAGUCUGAGACCAGGGUGCCAUCGAGGCCAGGUAAACGCCCCCUUCCUGGCUGCAGACCUCUCUGUCCUUCCACAUGGAAGGGGUGAGGCACUCUGUGGGGCCUCUUUUUAUGACAGCACUAAUCCCAUUCCUGAGGGCCUGCCCUCUUAAUCACCCAACCCCCCUCUCCCUUCCCCACCACCUAGUACCUUGGACAUGAAGUUUUCAAAUUAGGAAUUUGGGGGAUACAAACAUAAUGUUGGACUUCAAGGCCCCUUCAAGGAGAUAGAACUCAAAGCUUCUGGGCAAGACAAGAAUCACCGGAUCCUUAUCAUCACCCUGCCUGUUCAUUGUAAUGCCCCCUUCCUGACCUUGAGCAGCCUGGCCUACUCCUUCCUGCCCUUGCUGAAACCAAGCAGGGCCUUGUAGCUCCUGGGCACACAAGCCUUUCUGUGUCCCCCGUUUCUUUUUUUUAGGGAAUAAACUUCAGCCUCCAUGACCUUCCCUGAGUUCAAAAGGGCAGGUUCAAACAGUUGCUAAUCAGGGAAGGGAGGGGAUGCAGAGUCCAGGGAGGAGCAGUCAAGAAACUAUAGUGCAGCUUUGGGAGCAGGGUCUCGGUCUCUCCUUAAGGAAUCUAAACAACAGUAUCUGUGAGUCCUUCCGCAGGACUAAAACUUCCAACAAAUGGAAGAUGCUAAUGAAGCUUCUUUAUUCCAGAAAGAAAUCCACCAGACCACUGAACACUAGCUUCGAAAACAAUGCAAGCUUGCCUCUACCCUGAUCCCUAUC